UUUUAAACCUCUGUUGUUCCUCCCCUUCACUGUCCCUCUACCUGGAGAAGUCCUAGUUUACUUGUUUGUCCUGCAUGGAGAAGCCGUUCCGCAUUUUCCUCAUUCAUGUUCUCUGAAAUCUUGAAAAGUUACAAUUGGGCAUGUUUAUGAAAACUCAGUGACAAAUAUGUCAUUGUGAGACCUUUCCUUAUUUGAAUCCAGGAGCUUGCAGGAAUAUUAAUGCUUUGUUGCUUUGUCGCCUUCUGCUGCAGACCUCUCUACUAUAAGCUGAUUGAUGAAUGUGUCUCCCCAGUCGUACAAAAAUGGAGCUGACCCCAACUUCAGGUGCAAGCACCUUGACAUGAACCCUGAGCGGUUGAUAGCACGCCUGCUCCCAUCCCCAUGCUGCACAUGGGAUGGGGAUUGAGGCUGAUCUUCACUACUUCAUUUAGAGCACAUCUCCCAUUGCUUGAGCACAGCGAUUCUACCCGUAUGAAAUCCAGAAUGGGCAGGGAGUGCUACCAGGAUCCAGUGGUCUGUAGUGACAGCAGCUUCCAGAAGAAACCAUUAUUCUGUGGUGUCCUCCCUAAGAGAGGGGCAUGUCAGUCUUCAGGCAGAGAUAACUCAAUUGAUAAAACCAAGGUGAAGAAAAUUGAAGCAGAGUAGUGGAACUGGAGACAAAGGUUUUUUGCUGAUGUGGUUAGCUGGACUCGGAACUGACUGCAUGGAACAGCUGCAAAUUGAAAUGAAGGUGGCGAAAAGGGACUUUGAGGAGAAACUACUCGAUGCACGUGGUGGGAAGGAGAUGCCGGACCUGGGGAAGCAGCAGAUGACUGCGGAGAAGUAGGAGCUGGCAAGCAAAGUCUCCCAUCUGAGU